rnacentral:tRNA from 1 species
UGUUCAAAUAGUUUAUAAAAAUAAAGAUCUGUGGAUUCUUAGAUACGCUAAGGCGUUUUGGACAU